rnacentral:tRNA from 1 species
CAGAGAAUAGUUUAAAAAAUAUUAAUUUUGGAGAUUAAAGAUAGGAAAUUUUUCCUUUCUCUGA